UCCACUGGACUUUCCCUAGGUUCCAUGCUAAUCUCUUCUGUGAGCUCACUCUACCCCUCCUCCUCCUCCCUCUUAACUCUGAGGUUGUCCCUUCACUUAAACCUGACGUCUGGU
rnacentral:lncRNA from 1 species